rnacentral:piRNA from 1 species
UGUACUGUUUGUGUUUGUUCAGGGUA